GGGGCUGUAGCUCAGUGGCAGAGCACUUGCCUAGCAUGUGUGAAGCCCUGGGUUCGAUCCUCAGCACCUCA
rnacentral:tRNA from 1 species